rnacentral:lncRNA from 1 species
UCAGUCUUCACAGGAAUGUAGGCGAUUAGCCACGGAGCCCUUCUCUGUCUAGCAUCAGGCAUCAGACGCCCAACUAUACAGAGGCCAUUUGAAUGGAACUGCAGAAUAAUCUUCAGAAGAAAAAGCAAGCUCACAUGAGUGGCAGCAGCCCAUUGUGCUGAGUUAAAGACGCUGGAGAGAGUCUGGUUGGCGGUGGGGAGGUGUGGUGUUGAUGACAAUGAUGGGGCCGUGGCUGGAGAGGUUAAUGUCAGUCUCACAGACCCUGUUAUUUAUACUAAUGUAUUUAAUCUCCAUAACCCUAUAAAAAGUAUUAUUGUCAUCUCUACUUACAGGUGUGGAAAUUGAGUAACAGAAAAAUUAACUUGCCAAGAUAACACAGCUAGUAAAUAGUAGAGCUGUGAUUUGAAGCCAGGCAGUGAACUUCAGAAAUCCUUUCUGUUGAUGUGGGGAGUGGAGGACUCCAGACCCUGCCCAUUUGGCCUUGCCUCGUCUCUUUUUACUCUAGAAAAUGCUGUGGCUCUAUCAAAUACAGCUCAAAAAGCUACUCAUCCAGUUCAACUCUCUCCUUUGAAAGAUGAAGAUAUUGAGACCCAGAGAGGUGGAUACCCUGAGGUGGAGAAGAGACUGAAUAUGCCCACUGCAUCCAAAGCAAGGCUGGAGCUGACUUGAGCUUACUUGGCUUCAUAAAGCUUGAACACCAUAGAUGCUUUUAUAUGUCUUUCCUGUUCGAUUACUCUGGAUAGAGUGUGCUACUCCUAACACAAAGCAAAACCAAACCAAAAAACAAACCUCUCUUUUUCAUUUCCUUAAAGAAAAAAGAAAUUUAAUUUGGAUUCAGAUAAUACCCUUAUAACUUCUAAGGCAGUCAAGCAAGGAGGGGAACAGAUAAUUAGGAGAUGAUGGGAGCCAGCACAAAGCCAAAUGGAAGAAAACAGGCACACAGUAAGGCGGCAAAAGCCACCACCUAAUCCAUUAACAGCCUGCACUAUAAUUACGCUUGGCUCUGGCAUUAAACUGGUGAAAGCACAAAGGAGACACUAUUAAAGUCUUAAUUCCCACAAAAGGAAGCUCAUCCUGUGUAACAGCAAGUACUGUGCACCAAAGCGGCACCUAAAUGAAUAUUAUGGCAAAUUCUAAUUUAGCACUUAGUAGGAGCAUUCCACAAAAUUGCAAAAAUAAAGAGGAAGAAAGCUGAACGUGGUAAUUCAUGCCUGUAGUCCCAGCUACUCAGGAGGCUGAGGCAGGAGGAUUGCCUGAGCCCAAGAGUUUGAGGCUAGCCUGGACAACAUAGCAAGACUUUCAUCUCUACACAAAAUUAUUAGCUGGAUGUGGUGGCAUGUACCUGUAGUACCAGCUGGUCGAGAGGCUGAGACAAGAAGAUUGCUUGAGCCCAGGAGUUCAAAGUCAGCCUGGGCAACAUAGCGAGACCCUGUUUCUCAAAAAUAAUUAGAAAAAUAAAUAAAGGAGAAGAAAAGACUAGGUGGUGUUUCUUUAAAGGCAGUUCUUGCUGUUGCUCUAUGGGUUCACUUUCUCCCCAACCCCCAACCUUCUCAACCUUUCUCCAACCUCUCCAGCCCUCCCCAGCCCUCCCCAGCCUGUGUCUCUGCCCUCCCCAACCCCUCAUCGUCAGAUGGUUUUAAGCAUGUGGCUUCCUGAAAGCUGUGGGUCAGGAGGUAGCAGCAGGCCAAGUCUUCCUCCUUCGGCAGAAGGAGGAGCAGUGUGAGGUGCAAGUGGGCAGAGGCAGAGACUGAAAGUUCUUGAGGAGAACAGGUGUGAGGCCACAGGAAGCUCCACCAGGCACCUGGCUGCACAGUGACUUUUGCAGUGACAGUGCUUCAGCCUCCUUCCACGGGACCGCAGGAUUCAAAAUGGCAUCACCUCCACUUCUGUCAAUACAUCCGCAAGAGGGCUAGCA